rnacentral:tRNA from 1 species
UUUAUAGUGCCGGAUUAACGGGAUUUAUUGAUGUUAAAUUUAAGCUUAGGGCCUAUAAAA